UACAGAGGGUGCAAGCGUUAAUCGGAAUUACUGGGCGUAAAGCGCGCGUAGGUGGUUUGUUAAGUUGGAUGUGAAAUCCCCGGGCUCAACCUGGGAACUGCAUUCAAAACUGACAAGCUAGAGUAUGGUAGAGGGUGGUGGAAUUUCCUGUGUAGCGGUGAAAUGCGUAGAUAUCGGGAGGAACACCAGUGGCGAAGGCGACUACCUGGCCUGUUCUUGACGCUGAGGCGCGAAAGCUAGGGGAGCAAACGGG
rnacentral:rRNA from 1 species